rnacentral:rRNA from 1 species
UACGAAGGGGGCUAGCGUUGCUCGGAAUCACUGGGCGUAAAGCGCACGUAGGCGGAUUGCUAAGUCAGGGGUGAAAUCCUGGAGCUCAACUCCAGAACUGCCUUUGAUACUGGCGAUCUCGAGUCCGGGAGAGGUGAGUGGAACUGCGAGUGUAGAGGUGAAAUUCGUAGAUAUUCGCAAGAGCACCAGUGGCGAAGGCGGCUCACUGGCCCGGUACUGACGCUGAGGUGCGAAAGCGUGGGGAGCAAACAGG